rnacentral:rRNA from 1 species
UGAGGAAUAUUGCGCAAUGGAGGAAACUCUGACGCAGCAACGCCGCGUGGGUGAAGAAGGCUUUCGGGUUGUAAAGCCCUGUCAGGCGGGAAGAAACUUCCGCAGGUGAAUAGUCUGUGGAACUGACGGUACCGCCAAAGGAAGCACCGGCUAACUCCGUGCCAGCAGCCGCGGUAAUACGGAGGGUGCGAGCGUUGUUCGGAAUUACUGGGCGUAAAGCGCGUGCAGGCGGUCUCUUAAGUCUGGUGUGAAAGCCCGGGGCUCACCCCCCGGGAGGGCACUGGAGACUGGGAGGCUAGAGUACCGGUGAGGAAGGUGGAAUUCCUGGUGUAGCGGUGAAAUGCGUAGAUAUCAGGAGGAACACCGGCGGUGUAGACGGCUUGCUAGACCAUAACUGACGCUGAGGGACGAAAGCGUGGGUAGCAAA